rnacentral:rRNA from 1 species
CCUUGCCUCGUGGUGGGGGAUAGCCGGCCCAACGGCCGGGUAAUACCGCAUAUGGUGCUGACUCCGCAUGGAGACGGUAGCAAAGCCCUGGAGCAAUCCAGUGGCGCCACAGGGGGGGCUCGCGGCCUAUCAGCUAGUUGGGGGGGUAAUGGCCCACCAAGGCGACGACGGGUAGCUGGUCUGAGAGGAUGGCCAGCCACAUUGGGACUGAGAGACGGCCCAG